AGCCUGAUAGCUCAGUGGUUUAGAGCAUCUGAAAAGUAUAUGCUUGCUUUAAUGUGCUAGUCAGAACAGUGCUGGUUCGAUUCCAGCUUAUCCUU